UAGGGAAUUUUGCGCAAUGGGGGAAACCCUGACGCAGCAACACCGCGUGAAUGUUAAGCCCUUCGGGGUGUAAAGUUCUGUCAAUGGGGACGAAAUAAGACUGUACCCACAAAGGAAGCACCGGCUAACUCCGUGCCAGCAGCCGCGGUAAUACGGGGGGUGCAAGCGUUGUCCGGAAUCGUUGGGCGUAAAGCGUUCGUAGGCGGUAUGUCAAGUCUGGUGUUAAAGCCCGAGGCUCAACCUCGGUUCGGCAUUGGAUACUGGCAAACUGGAAUGUGGUAGAGGUAAGUGGAAUUCCUAGUGUAGCGGUGAAAUGCGUAGAUAUUAGGAGGAACACCAGUGGCGAAGGCGAUUUACUGGACUGUAACUGGCGCUGAGUCACGAAAGCGUGGGGAGCAAACA
rnacentral:rRNA from 1 species